rnacentral:pre_miRNA from 1 species
AACAGUGAUAGGGCUACUCUCUAUUGGCAUGCAGUUAUAUAUGUAGUGACUCCACUUCAUAAUAUAAUUUAGCUGACACGCCAAAGGAGAGCUGCCCUGUUACUGUCUC